rnacentral:lncRNA from 1 species
AAAGAUUUCACCUUUUUUUCCCCAACCUCUGUGUAGAUUAACAUUUUACCUAAAGACUUGUCAGUAGAGGUAAACUGGAUUUUUCAGAAGUAUGUUUUAAUAUCUUCUUGUGUUUUCUAAACCUAAAUUUUGUUUUGAAGUCCAUCUGGUAUAACUUUACUUACUAUUUCUUAGGAAUUAUUCUUUUGGAAUUUAAGACAAUAACUGUGAAUCUAGGAACUUGCUCCUUCUUCUAGGGCUGUGAGCUGUUCAUUAUUGUAUUUCUUAAACAUAUUCUGCAUCUCACAAACUCACAUUUUGUUGUCUUUGGUCAAGUUGUCUCCAUCUUCCUCCUCCUCAUCAAGCUCUGAUUCUUCCAGCAGUUCUUCUGAUUUUGAAGAUGAGGAUAAGAAACACGGGAAAAGGAGAAGAAAGAAAAGAUACCGCUUCUCACGAAAAUCAUCAGACAGCUCUAGUUCAGGUUCUGAAUCGGACAGCAAGGUAAAGUGUAAUAUUAAUGGGGGAGGGGGUGUAUGUGUGAAAACAGUAUGGGAGAUGAGCUAUACUCUGCCAUAUCAAAUAUAAGGGGAUAUCUGUUCAGCCUCUUCUAGAAUAAGCCAAGCAAAAUGGCCAUGGUGGUACAGUAGGGAGUCUCUGAGGGCCACCCCAAAGUGCUGAAUGGGCACUUCAUUGCACCUGCUAUUUGGUCACACAGAGUUGUGUAGCCACAAUGUCAAGUGGUUUUGCUCUUCUUGUCAAGUCACUAUGUAAUGGAUAUGGACACCAUGGCAAUUCACCAUGGAGAAAACAUAUCUUAGGAAUAGGCCUUGGUUUGUCAAGUAGCUUAUAAACGAAAUAUAUGCCAUGAUGGUUUAGCAUGUCUUUCACACCCAGCCUACUAGGUUUUCAACCCCCACUCCACCCCC